rnacentral:rRNA from 1 species
UACGAAGGGGGCUAGCGUUGCUCGGAAUCACUGGGCGUAAAGCGCACGUAGGCGGCUUCUUAAGUCAGGGGUGAAAUCCUGGAGCUCAACUCCAGAACUGCCCUUGAUACUGGCGAUCUUGAGUCCGGGAGAGGUGAGUGGAACUGCGAGUGUAGAGGUGAAAUUCGUAGAUAUUCGCAAGAACACCAGUGGCGAAGGCGGCUCACUGGCCCGGUACUGACGCUGAGGUGCGAAAGCGUGGGGAGCAAACAGG